rnacentral:rRNA from 1 species
AUUGAACGCUGGCGGCAUGCCUUACACAUGCAAGUCGAACGGCAGCACGGGAGCUUGCUCCUGGUGGCGAGUGGCGAACGGGUGAGUAAUACAUCGGAACGUACCCAGGAGUGGGGGAUAACGUAGCGAAAGUUACGCUAAUACCGCAUAUUCUGUGAGCAGGAAAGCGGGGGAUCGCAAGACCUCGCGCUCUUGGAGCGGCCGAUGGCGGAUUAGCUAGUUGGUGAGGUAAAAGCUCACCAAGGCGACGAUCCGUAGCAGGUCUGAGAGGAUGAUCUGCCACACUGGGACUGAGACGCGGCCCAGACUCCGACGGGAGGCAGCAGUGGGGAAUUUUGGACAAGGGGGGCAAGCCUGAUCCAGCCAUGCCGCGUGAGUGAAGAAGGCCUUCGGGUUGUAAAGCUCUUUUGUCAGGGAAGAAACGGCUGUGGCUAAUAUCCAUGGCUAAUGACGGUACCUGAAGAAUAAGCACCGGCUAACUACGUGCCAGCCGCCGCCGUAAGAC